rnacentral:rRNA from 1 species
UACGUAGGGGGCUAGCGUUGUCCGGAAUCAUUGGGCGUAAAGAGCGUGUAGGCGGUCCGGUAAGUCCGCUGUGAAAGUCGGGGGCUCAACCCUCGAAUGCCGGUGGAUACUGUCGGGCUAGAGUGCGGAAGAGGCGAGUGGAAUUCCUGGUGUAGCGGUGAAAUGCGCAGAUAUCAGGAGGAAUACCGGUGGCGAAGGCGGCAUCCUGGACCAUUACUGACGCUGAGGCGCGAAAGCUAGGGGAGCAAACGGG